AAAUCAGUUAUGGUUCAUUAGAUCGUGGACACAUUUACUUGGAUAACUGUGGUAAUUCUAGAGCUAAUACAUGCAAACAGAAUUCCUCUCAGAGAUGGGAGGAAUGCUUUUAUUAGAUCAAAACCAAUCGGUGGCGGACGGCUCGUCCGUUCGUCCAUCGUUUGUUUUGGUGACUCUGAAUAACUUUGUGCUGAUCGCAUGGUCAUCUAGCACCGGCGACGCAUCUUUCAAAUGUCUGCCUUAUCAACUGUCGAUGGUAGGUUCUGCGCCUACCAUGGUUGUAACGGGUAACGGGGAAUCAGGGUUCGAUUCCGGAGAGGGAGCCUGAGAAACAGCUACCACAUCCAAGGAAGGCAGCAGGCGCGCAAAUUACCCACUCCCGGCACGGGGAGGUAGUGACGAAAAAUAACGAUACGGGACUCAUCCGAGGCCCCGUAAUCGGAAUGAGUACACUUUAAAUCCUUUAACGAGGACCAAUUGGAGGGCAAGUCUGGUGCCAGCAGCCGCGGUAAUUCCAGCUCCAAUAGCGUAUAUUAAAGUUGUUGCGGUUAAAAAGCUCGUAGUUGAAUCUGUGUGUCACAGUGUCGGUUCACCGCUCGCGGUGUUUAACUGGCAUUAUGUGGUACGUCCUAUCGGUGGGCUUAGCUCCUUGCGGGCGGUCCAACUAAUAUCCCAUCGCG
rnacentral:rRNA from 2 species